GGAGCGGGCUGCAUUUUGGGUCCCCCCAAGGGUAGAUAAGACAGCUAAGGGUUGGCGGGGAUUUGUCCUGUGCGCAGGAGAGAAGAAUCUCGGUAUUCUUUAGGCAGUUCCAGAUUCUACCAUAUAUGAGAUUAAAAUCCUUGGGACGUUGCUGAACCACUGCUAUCUAUGAAAUCAUGGAGACUAUACUUGUCAGGCACAGUUACCAGCUUUCUAUCACAAGAGAUUACAUUACAUUUCCUGUCAUUUAUGGAAAUAAAUUCAAACACUGAAUAAUAUUCCAUUGUGUACCACAUUUUCAUUAUCAAAUCAUCAAUUGAUGGAUGUCGUGGCUGUUUCCAUUUCCUG